rnacentral:rRNA from 1 species
UACGUAGGGUGCAAGCGUUAAUCGGAAUUACUGGGCGUAAAGCGUGCGCAGGCGGCUUUGCAAGACAGAUGUGAAAUCCCCGGGCUUAACCUGGGAACUGCAUUUGUGACUGCAUGGCUGGAGUGCGGCAGAGGGGGAUGGAAUUCCGCGUGUAGCAGUGAAAUGCGUAGAUAUGCGGAGGAACACCAAUGGCGAAGGCAGCCUUCUGGGCCAACACUGACGCUCAUGCACGAAAGCGUGGGGAGCAAACAGG